UCCUCGAUGGUCUAGUGGUCAUGAUUUCCGCUUGUCAUCAAAUCCCAUUUCAAGCGCGGGAGACCAGGGUUCGAUUCCCUGUCGGGGAG
rfam:Paracoccidioides sp. &apos;lutzii&apos; Pb01 unplaced genomic scaffold supercont2.8, whole genome shotgun sequence.